rnacentral:lncRNA from 1 species
UGGCUGAAGCUCGGUUGGGACAUCUAAUGGAGCGGAAUGGCUCUCUAUCCAAUCGAUCUGGGAGAAGCUCGGAUGCCUUGAGGCUGCUGAUGAGUCUACUGCUGUUGGAUAUCUUAGGCACUGAUAUUACAAGUGGGAGUCAUCUGCUAUAGAAGCUUGGAUGGAGACUUUUCAUUGGUGAAGUCCGAUAGGAGUUCGAUUGCUAGAGAAGUCCAUCUGGGAUUUGCCUGAUGUGGAAGCUCAUCUGAAGAUGAUCCACCGGAGAAGUUUGGUUUCAUGAA